AACCCAUAGUGGGGGCACCUUCUUAAUAGAUCUUUGUAUCUCUCCCAUGCAUCAUAAAGAGUUUCUAGAUCUAUCUGUGUAAAAGAAGAGAUAUCAUUCCUUAAUUU
rfam:Gossypium arboreum cultivar AKA8401 contig_37515_3, whole genome shotgun sequence.